rnacentral:rRNA from 1 species
AGCUAGAGUAGGUGAGAGGGAAGUAGAAUUCCAGGUGUAGCGGUGAAAUGCGUAGAGAUCUGGAGGAAUACCGAUGGCGAAGGCAGCUUCCUGGCAUCAUACUGACACUGAGGCUCGAAAGCGUGGGUAGCAAACAGGAUUAGAUACCCUGGUAGUCCACGCCGUAAACGAUGUCUACUAGUCGUUGGGGAACNUGAUUCNUUAGUGACGCAGCUAACGCAAUAAGUAGACCGCCUGGGGAGUACGGCCGCAAGGUUAAAACUCAAAUGAAUUGNCGGGGGCCCGCACCAGCGGUGGAGCAUGUGGUUUANUUNGAUGCAACGCGAAGAACCUUACCUGGUCUUGACAUAUCUAGAAUCCUGCAGAGAUGCGGGAGUGCCUUCGGGAAUUAGAAUACAGGUGCUGCAUGGCUGUCGUCAGCUNGUGUCNUGAGAUGUUGGGUUAAGUCCCGCAACGAGCGCAACCCUUGUCCUUAGUUACCAGCGGGUUAAGCCGGGAACUCUAAGGAUACUGCCAGUGACAAACUGGAGGAAGGCGGGGACGACGUCAAGUCAUCAUGGCCCUUACGACCAGGGCUACACACGUGCUACAAUGGUAGGUACAGAGGGCAGCUACACAGCGAUGUGAUGCGAAUCUCAAAAAGCCUAUCGUAGUCCAGAUUGGAGUCUGCAACUCGACUCCAUGAAGUAGGAAUCGCUAGUAAUCGCGGAUCAGAAUGCCGCGGUGAAUACGUUCCCGGGCCUUGUACACACCGCCCGUCACACCAUGGGAGUUGAUUGCACCAGAAGUGGUUAG